rnacentral:rRNA from 1 species
UACAGAGGUCUCAAGCGUUGUUCGGAUUCAUUGGGCGUAAAGGGUGCGUAGGCGGCGCGGUAAGUCGGGUGUGAAAUCUCGGAGCUUAACUCCGAAACUGCAUUCGAUACUGCCGUGCUUGAGGACUGGAGAGGAGACUGGAAUUUACGGUGUAGCGGUGAAAUGCGUAGAUAUCGAGAGGAACACCUGCGGCGAAGGCGGCGACCUGGACAGUUACUGACACUCAACUACGAAAGCGUGGGGAGCAAACAGG